UACGAAGGGGGCUAGCGUUGCUCGGAAUUACUGGGCGUAAAGGGCGCGUAGGCGGACAGUUUAGUCAGAGGUGAAAGCCCAGGGCUCAACCUUGGAAUUGCCUUUGAUACUGGCUGUCUUGAGUUCGGGAGGGGUGAGUGGAAUGCCGAGUGUAGAGGUGAAAUUCGUAGAUAUUCGCAGGAACACCAGUGGCGAAGGCGACUUGCUGGAUCUUUGCUGACGCUGAGACGCGAAAGCGUGGGGAGCAAACAGG
rnacentral:rRNA from 1 species